rnacentral:rRNA from 1 species
UAGGGAAUCUUCCGCAAUGGGCGAAAGCCUGCCGGAGCAACGCCGCGUGAGUGAUGAAGGUCUUCGGAUCGUAAAACUCUGUUAUUAGGGAAGAACAAAUGUGUAAGUAACUAUGCACGUCUUGACGGUACCUAAUCAGAAAGCCACGGCUAACUACGUGCCAGCAGCCGCGGUAAUACGUAGGUGGCAAGCGUUAUCCGGAAUUAUUGGGCGUAAAGCGCGCGUAGGCGGUUUUUUAAGUCUGAUGUGAAAGCCCACGGCGCAACCGUGGAGGGUCAUUGGAAACUGGAAAACUUGAGUGCAGAAGAGGAAAGUGGAAUUCCAUGUGUAGCGGUGAAAUGCGCGGAGAUAUGGAGGAACACCAGUGGCGAAGGCGACUUUCUGGUCUGUAACUGACGCUGAUGUGCGAAAGCGUGGGGAUCAAACAGG